rnacentral:lncRNA from 1 species
UGCUCGUGAUUUAUUGUUAUUUAAUGUUGUGCUGUCCAAAUAAUCUGAGUUUAUCCACAUCUCUGAGGAUGUGUACAGGUUUUGUUUGCUUGGAUGGUUUUACAAGGAUUAAAGCAGCAUUUCCAAAACACUCCACACACUCACACACGUACAUACAUAUGUGAUAUUCAUGUUAACAAUUUACUUCUUGGAGGGAAGAAACCAGUGCUUUCUCUAUCCAGUUCUCCUGGAGGUUGCCUCAGAUAUAUCCAAUCCAGAUCAGACCUUAUCAUACUGUGUUUCAGUUCACUGCCACCAUAUGUAAGUGUUGUCAAGGCUAUAAUAUAUAAAGUAUCUGGCUCCAGGGCUGGUUUCACUGUGGUUUUGGAAUACAGAUUUUAUAAUAUGCAGUUUCCUUCCUCUGAAGUCAAUGGGCUAUUCAGUGGAAUAAGGUUACCAAGGCACAGGUCAAAUCUUCAAAGGCACAUAGGCACCCAAAUCCUGUUUAAGGAUAUUCUGCUGAUUUGAAGCGAGGUGCCUGCCUGAUCCCCUCCAAAGGUGGGGGAAUUCCCCAGGCCAUAGCUAGAGCCUGUUUAAACAGUCGCUGAGGCUCUCACAGGCAAUCUCAUGACUACAUGUCCCCUAGCCUUACUGCGAGGCCACCAACAUAAG